CACCUUUUGCCUCUGAAGCCGUCUGACUGGUGAGGGUCCUGGUUGUACAUGGAGGCCGACAGAAGAAGCCAAUGAAGUGAAGAGCUCCCCAGCCAGUAACCACAACCAGCAUGCACCUCCUGCCAUCAAGGUCAAUGGUGAAGGUGACCACAGGGCCAGCAACAGGCCGCAGUCUGCGGCCAACGAUGACACCUCCUCAGAACUACAGAGGCUGGCAGAGAUGGAUGCCCCCCUGCAGAGGAGGGGCGGCUUC